UUUUGGGGGGGUGGAGUAAGCCCCCCCAUCAAAAAAAAAAAAAAAUGAUGGGACUAACGAUUCCCCUGAUUCUUAUGUUACCUCGUCUCUUAAAUUAUUUUGCGUGUUUGACGUGCUUGUUUAGGUAAUAUGUGGUUAUUUUUGUAACACUUUACUUAAAGCAGCCAUCAUAAUGCAUUAUAGAUACCAUCAUAAUGCAUUCAUAAAGUAUUAUAAACACGGCUUUAUGAACGCAUUAUAAUCAAUUAUGAGGGUAUUUAUAAUGCAUUUAUAUCACUGCUUUAAGUAAAGUGUUACCAUUAUUUUUUAAAGAUUCUUUCCCCUGAGUUGAAUAUGCCUGUCAGAUUUUGUAGAUCAGUACGAAUGUUCUUGAUAAACAUUGGUUAUUUCUAUACAACUCAAUCUUCCUUAAUAGAAAGCAGUACUCAGUGUAUUAUGUGAUGGCUUCCGCAUGUUUAUGAAUAUUUUUGUUACAAUUCCUUAAAUACAUUCCAACCAGUUGUUUCAAAACAAAAUUGGUUUCAGUUCUUUUAUUACUGGCCAGCAUUUGAGAUGAGUAUCCAACUUCUGUUUUUAUGUUACAACUUAUCUUGUGAUUGGACUUACCAGAGUGAGGUCGUGGUGCGGAGCGAUAAGCUGUCUCGAUGGUUCAGUAGUUGUGCUCUUACUUUCACUUGUAGGAAGACUCACGUGCUGAGGGUGUUUUGGUGGGCAGCUUUCCAAAGUUGCAAUGAUUAACAUGUCCUGCCAUGGUGGCAACCACUUCUGGAUGUUUGUUCGGUUACUGGUGACGCAGUGGAGUUUAAUAUAGACGGAAUUAAUAACAGCAGAUAAUUCUCUCAGUGUUUUGUUGUGAGGUAUUCCAAAUGAGUAGCCUCUGGAAAGCAUUUCAGGGUUCAUACUUCAAAAGUCACUUAUCAGGAAGCAUACCUCCCUCCUUUUAUUGUUAUUGUUUGUUGUUCUCUAUUAAUGUGUAAAUGUUUUUUUCUUAAUGUGUGUAUUCAGCUACUGUGAACAUUCUAUUUCCUGUGGAAUUAAUAAGAUAUCUAUCUAUCUAUCUAUCUAUCUAUCUACCUGUCUUUCUUUUCAUUCCUAUCCAUCCAUGUAGUCAAUGUGUAGUAUGUUUGGGAUUAACCAUCAAACAGUAAUCACAGUAAUUUCCUUUUGUACUUCUGUGACAUUAUCCAUCCAUUACACCUCAUUUAGCUCCCAGAAGUCACUAUAGAAACAGAACGCUGUCUGGUUUCAGGGCGAGAACAAUGGGGCUAAAUCAAGCACUUUUUCACUGUUCAACGACUCCUAGUUGCCUCACCUUCAUAAUUUCUACAGCUCGCCAGAGGGAAUACAGGAAUACAGUAGGGCUUGUGUCGGACGAUUCCCCCUCCAGAAAUAAUGAUGUCAUGCUGUAUGAUAUCAGUUCCUCCUGUGUUCAUAGAGAAGACGCCUCAAUACUAUGCCAGAAGAUCCCUGACUUCCUGUUCUUGAAUGGGACUCUGUUCAUUGUUAGUUUGGCCUCUUUUUCUCCAGGCACAGAAGAGAAGUUUAAGUUCAGGGGAACCAGCUCUACCAACCAUCUUGAAAGACUUGGCUUUUAGAGUCCUUAUUGAUAUACUAUGACAGGACGAGUCACACCUUUUUGCUCAGCUCUACCAUGAGCUGAUGCACAAACGGAGCCCCCUAAUACUGUCACCUUUCCCCUGAGGCCUCAACACCACUGGAUAGUAGAAAGAGCUUCACUGCUGCUUUGGAGGUCAGUCUCUAGAGUGGCACAACUUCAGGAUAUUGGUUGGUGUAAUGGACAAGUACUAGAAUACAUUUGUGACCCUGAACCAACAUGGGAAGAGGCUCGAUCAAAUCCUUGCCAAUCCUUGAGUGGACUGAAGACCUCCAAUUGAUCCAAUCUAUAGAGUGGAGUGAAGACUUCCAAUGGAUUGUGUGCUGCAUAAGCAUCAACUCAGAAUGAAACUGCUGCAUAAGCAUCAACUCAGAAUGAAACAGUUGUACAAGGUACUAUUUGAAAGAAGCACUGAGCGAAUGAAGGAACUGAGGUACCAGUAUGUACAGUGACUCACCACAGCUGUUUAUGAAGCUGGACUCAACUUGGGGAAAGUCAGGAGGAGAGGGAAGAACGCCAUUGGCCACAGAGCUACAGUGGAUGUGCCAGGCCAACAUGGCGCAAACAUCACCAUGGUUGCUACCAUCUCAAUGAAUAUUGUCAUUGGCCACAUACCCUUGAUUGGACUGUACAACGCCUCAUUGCAUUUUUAGACUUGCGCUUCAAGAAAAGGCAGAUGCAAGACAGUCCAAUAUUAUCAUCCUAUGGAUCUUACUUGAUGUGGUGAAUUUUGCUUGUGAGGCAAUUAUCGCAGAAGACUGCUAUAUUCCUCAUAGCAGACUUUUUUUUUUAUAGUGAGUUGCUGUAUUUUUACCCCACUAGAUGGUGCUCUUGGAUACUAUGCUUUGUACCCCUUUUUUGACCAGAUAGCACCAUCUAGUGGCAUCAAUAAGUACAACAAAUGGUUCAUGAAGUGUCAUUUUGUCUAUCGCUAUUUUUUCCCCACAUUGCAUUGUAAUAGAACAUAUAAGGUGUGAUGUUCUAAAUUUGUGGCCUGAGCCACAGGAGAGAAGCAGGGAGUUUUACAGAGAUGUGUUAAUGCUUCACAGGUUGUGUUGGCUGGGUAGAGAAUGGGGUUGCUGUUUUGACCAAUGUGGUUAAGUGCCUGAGAAAAAUUGUAAUGUGGGUGAUCUUCUGAAAUAAACCAGGGUUAGGAGAUACCGAGAUUUGCUCAACCAUCCUCGCCUUUGUGACACACGUCCUCUUGGAAGCAAGCAAUGGGGUACGAACGUUUCCUGGAGGUUGGCUGUGUAGGCAGGUUGGUCUUGCCAGUGUUGCUGUGCUG